UCCUCAGGUUUUUCCGAUUAUUCAUCCUUAGUGUUUGUAUGAUUUUGCUUGGUGCCGAAGGUAGGGGAAGGCGGUUUGAAUUUGAUUUCAUUUUGGCUUUGUUUCCAGAUCGUCGGUUUUGCAACUGUGAGGAUUGUUUCUUUGAUCUGGUGAUGAUGUUGUUUUUGGAGUUGCGAUAACCAACUUUUAUUUACUGGAAGGGCUUUGCAUGUCGCUGGCAAUGGAUUUCCAAAGAGUCACCGAUGCUUCCGGUGGUUCAUAUCCCUUUGAUUAGUAUUUGGCAUAGGCUCUUCCUCUGUCA
rnacentral:lncRNA from 1 species